AGGAAUUAGUUGCAUUGGGCGGAGUGGUUAGUACAGAAAGUAGAGGUCUCUCUGCUGAUACACUUGCUUCCUUACCUUCAGUAACUUACAACACAAAAGACAUGCAAGACGGCAACACAGAACAAUGUGUAAUUUGUCACGUGGGAUUGGAGGAAGGUGAAUCCUUGGUUGCACUUCCCUACAAGCAUUCAUAAUCAUACCACCCUGACUGCAUUAACCAGUCAAAUAAAUAAGCUCCCCUCUUUUGUUGCUUUCGGCUAAGCAUCUUUCGGCGGCGGAAAGAAGGCGACUAGUUGCUUCUAGUGAAGCAGCGAGUUCAUGGGCAAGUGAAUGAAUGAGCAGCGAGUGAAGUGCAACAGUGGUAUGCGCAAUGUGUAGCGCAGAAGUUUCUACCUCAACAAACAAGCAGGCAUGACCAACAGUUGGCACUUCAAGUUAGGAAAAGGAAGUUGUUGGCACUUGGGAGUAUGCAGUAGCGGCAUCAUUAUAUUAUCCCUGAUGUUUAAACUAGAGUAGCAAAAACUUGUACAAACUUGCGAAGGGACGAACUUGUACAAAUUAUCUAAUGCUUUAGGCCGUGGUCGGACUCCCCCCGCUCUGUGCUGGAGCGGAGUGGCUUGCUAGGUAUAAUCUGCAGAGCUGCUAAAAGGGCGCUUCGUCGGCUUCGCUCCGCGGAGAGCAGCCGAACAGGUGCUUAGUCUUCAGUCGCAGAAAUAUAUUGGGAAAUAUUUGAUUAUUAGUUAUGGCAGAAACUUUCUUUGAAAAGUUUAAUGAUUAUUCAUUAAUGCACAAAAAUAUAUUGGGAAAUA